AGUGAACGCUGGCGGUAGGCCUAACACAUGCAAGUCGAACGGCAGCACAGUAAGAGCUUGCUCUUACGGGUGGCGAGUGGCGGACGGGUGAGGAAUACAUCGGAAUCUACUUUUUCGUGGGGGAUAACGUAGGGAAACUUACGCUAAUACCGCAUACGACCUACGGGUGAAAUCAGGGGAUCUUCGGACCUUGCGCGAUUGAAUGAGCUGAUGUCGGAUUAGCUAGUUGGCUGGGUAAAGGCCCACCAAGGCGACGAUCCGUAGCUGGUCUGAGAGGAUGAUCAGCCACACUGGAACUGAGACACGGUCCAGACUCCUACGGGAGGCAGCAGUGGGGAAUAUUGGACAAUGGGCGCAAGCCUGAUCCAGCAAUGCCGCGUGAGUGAAGAAGGCCUUCGGGUUGUAAAGCCCUUUUGUUGGGAAAGAAAAGCAGCAGGUUAAUACCCCGCUGUUCUGACGGUACCCAAAGAAUAAGCACCGGCUAACUUCGUG
rnacentral:rRNA from 1 species